UACGGAGGGUGCAAGCGUUAUCCGGAUUCACUGGGUUUAAAGGGUGCGUAGGCGGGCAGGUAAGUCAGUGGUGAAAUCUCCGGGCUUAACCCGGAAACUGCCGUUGAUACUAUCUGUCUUGAAUAUCGUGGAGGUAAGCGGAAUAUGUCAUGUAGCGAUGAAAUGCUUAGAUAUGACAUAGAACACCGAUUGCGAAGGCAGCUUACUACGCGAUCAUUGACGCUCAUGCACGAAAGCGUGGGGAGCAAACAGG
rnacentral:rRNA from 1 species